GGUCCCGUAGCUCAGCGGAUGAGAGCAGUGGUCUUCUAAACCGCAGGUCGCAGGUUCGAAUCCUGCCGGGAUCGCCA
rnacentral:tRNA from 2 species